AAGAAACUAACUCAGGAUUUCCCUAGUAACGGCGAGCGAACCGGAAAGAGCCCAGCUUGGAAAUCGUGGUGCUUCGCACCUCGAGUUGUAGUCUGGAGAAGGCUCCUCUGCGCCGCGCCGGGCCCAAGUUCCCUGGAAAGGGACGUCAUCGAGGGUGACAACCCCGUCCGCGCCCGGAACGCGUCGCUCCACGAGGACCUGUCUGCGAGUCGGGCUGUUUGGGAAUGCAGCCCUAAUCGGGAGGUAAAUUCCUUCCAAGGCUAAAUAUGGGCAAGAGACCGAUAGCGAACAAGUACCGCGAGGGAAAGAUGAAAAGGACUUUGAAAAGAGAGUUAAAAAGUGCUUGAAAUUGCUGGGAGGGAAGCGAAUGGAAGCUGCGGGUGCGCCCCGGUUGGAUGUGGAACGGCUUCGGCUGGUCCGCCGCUCAACGCGGGGCGCUGGUCAGCGUGGGCCGUGGCGCCGGGACAAGAGCGGGGAUUCGCUUUCCGCCUAUGCCGGUGCCGCGGCCGAGGCACGAAGCGCGCGCCGCCAGGCGUGGGUUCGCCCCAACUGCGCGCUCGGGACGCUGGCGUAUUGAGCUCUUCAUCCGACCCGUCUUGAAACACGGACCAAGGAGUCUAACAUGUAUGCGAGCCGGUGGGCGGCAAACCCAUUGAGGCGCAAGGAACCUGACAGGUGGGACCCCGACCGCGAGGGAGGGAGCACCAUCGACCGACCGU
rnacentral:rRNA from 1 species